rnacentral:misc_RNA from 1 species
GUGAAUCAUCGAAUUUUUGAACGCAAAUUGCGCCUUUUUCGGAAGGCAUGUCUGUUUGAGGGCACCAUUUAACAAAUAAUGUACAGCUUUUUUUGUUGGACACGGUGAUGAGCUUUCCAAGAAUUUUAAAUUUUUGGGGGCGCAUAAUUAACAGCGUGAAAGUUUUUUUCAGUUCGAGUGUAGUAAAAUCUUUGCUUGGGUUGUGAAAAAACAUAAUCUCGCAAUGGGUGUGGCAAUUUUUUUUUAUCGCUGCCCCAAUGCCACUCUUUCUCACGUAAGAAAGGUAAAUCUUCCGGG